rnacentral:tRNA from 1 species
UGCCUCGUGGCUCAGUUGGCUAGAGCGUUGGCUGUACUAAAGUAUUCCUCUGACUGGCGUGAGUUCGAAUCCCACUGAGGCCG